ACGGGUGAGUAAUAUUCGGGUAUCUGCCUGGCAGAGGGGGAUAGCCACUGGAAACGGUGGGUAAUACCGCAUAAGGUCUGAGGACCAAAGCCGGGGACUGGGUACGUGUACUGAGCCUGGCGCUGCCGGAGGGGCCCGGACGGGAUUAGCUGGUAGGUGGGGUAAGGGCUCACCUAGGCGACGAUCUCUAGCUGGUCUGAGAGGAUGUCCAGCCACACUGGAACUGAGAGACGGUCCAGACUCCUGCGGGAGGCAGCAGUGGGGAAUAUUGCACAAUGGGGGAAACCCUGAUGCAGCCAUGCCGCGUGUAUGAAGAAGGCCUUUGGGUUGUAAAGUACUUUCGUCGGGGAGGAAGGGCGCUACGUUAAGAGCGGGGUGUUCAGACGUUACCCGAAGAAGAAGCACCGGCUAACUCCGUGCCAGCAGCCGCGGUAAUACGGAGGGUGCGAGCGUUAAUCGGAAUGACUGGGCGUAAAGGGCGCGUAGGCGGGACGACAAGUCAGUGGUAAAAGUUCCGGGCUCAACCCGGGGACGUCCAUUGAAACGGUUGUUCUUGAGUUUCACAGAGGGAGGCGGAAUUCC
rnacentral:rRNA from 1 species